rnacentral:rRNA from 1 species
AGCGAACGCUGGCGGCAGGCCUAACACAUGCAAGUCGAACGAACCUUUCGGGGUUAGUGGCGGACGGGUGAGUAACACGUGGGAACGUGCCUUUAGGUUCGGAAUAACUCAGGGAAACUUGUGCUAAUACCGAAUGUGCCCUUCGGGGGAAAGAUUAAUCGCCUUUAGAGCGGCCGGCGUCUGUUUAGCUAGUUGGUUGGGGUAAUGGCUCACCAAGGCGACGAUCAGUAGCUGGUCUGAGAGGAUGAUCAGCCACAUUGGGACUGAGACACGGCCUAAACUCCUACGGAAGGCAGCAGUGGGGAAUCUUGCGCAAUGGGCGAAAGCCUGACGCAGCCAUGCCGCGUGAAUGAUGAAGGUCUUAGGAUUGUAAAAUUCUUUCACCGGGGACGAUAAUGACGGUACCCGGAGAAGAAGCCCCGGCUAACUUCGUG